GCCAGCAGCCAUAUCACCCUGCAGCCCAAGACUGGUUGCCCACUGAAGCUAAGCAGGGUUGAGCCUGGUUAGUACCUGGAUGGGAGACCUCCUGGGAAAACUAGGUUGCUGCUGGAA
rnacentral:rRNA from 1 species